rnacentral:rRNA from 1 species
CAGUCGCCGCGGUAGUACGUAGGUCCCGAGCGUUGUCCGGAUUUAUUGGGCGUAAAGCGAGCGCAGGCGGUUAGAUAAGUCUGAAGUUAAAGGCUGUGGCUUAACCAUAGUACGCUUUGGGAACUGUUUAACUUGAGUGCAAGAGGGGAGAGUGGAAUUCCAUGUGUAGCGGUGAAAUGCGUAGAUAUAUGGAGGAACACCGGCGGCGAAAGCGGCUCUCUGGCUUGUAACUGACGCUGAGGCUCGAAAGCGUGGGGAGCAAACAGGAUUAGAUACCCCCGUAGUCCCUGUCUCUUAUACC